rnacentral:sRNA from 1 species
AGAAAACAACAAGAAAAACACACAGUUAGUAAUCGAAAAGAAAAUGGAAAAAGAACUAGAUCUAAGCAAGUCUGAAAUCUCAAAUGUAACAAACAAACACCCAAUUGGCAACGGCACCAAAUUGAUAAUAGGUUUUUUAGUCAAUUAUCCUAAAACACUAAUCAUGUCGUUGUAGUAUUUUAGGUUGUCAAUCCAAAUGGGUGUGAUGCUAACAAUCAAGAUGUGAUCAGAAGUCACUAAAUCAAGCCAAGCAAUAACAGGUUUUGGUGUGUUCUAGCAGUCCUAAGUGAACAUGCAGAAAACAGAAAAUCAAGUAGAAACAGUAAAACACUCGACCAACACAGCUCGUUGCAGAGCACUGGGUAAGGUCGAGUGACAGGUCGAGUAACAGGCAGUAAACGAAACAAAGACACUCGACUACACAGUCUGUUGCCAGACAACUGGGUGGUCGAGUAUCAGGUCGAGUAACAGGAAAGAAUUGUAGAAACUAAGCAACAUAUGACAAGAUGCAGUAAACAACAGUAGAGUAAACAAUAAAAUCAAUCAGAUAAAGAAUUCCCAAGAUGGGGUAAUUGAGUAGUUUCGUUUCCUCAGUUUACAAGUGAUUGACAUGCUCAGUAAAUUAUCCCUAGACAA